GAUGAACACUGGCGGCGUGCCUAAUACAUGCAAGUCGAGCGAACAGACGAGGAGCUUGCUCCUCUGACGUUAGCGGCGGACGGGUGAGUAACACGUGGAUAACCUACCUAUAAGACUGGGAUAACUUCGGGAAACCGGAGCUAAUACCGGAUAAUAUAUUGAACCGCAUGGUUCAAUAGCGAAAGACGGUUUUGCUGUCACUUAUAGAUGGAUCCGCGCCGCAUUAGCUAGUUGGUAAGGUAACGGCUUACCAAGGCAACGAUGCGUAGCCGACCUGAGAGGGUGAUCGGCCACACUGGAACUGAGACACGGUCCAGACUCCUACGGGAGGCAGCAGUAGGGAAUCUUCCGCAAUGGGCGAAAGCCUGACGGAGCAACGCCGCGUGAGUGAUGAAGGUCUUCGGAUCGUAAAACUCUGUUAUUAGGGAAGAACAAAUGUGUAAGUAACUAUGCACGUCUUGACGGUACCUAAUCAGAAAGCCACGGCUAACUACGUG
rnacentral:rRNA from 1 species